AGGAGCUAAGUUUCUUCAUUUCUCUCUCCAAUCUCCUCACAUAGCCGACUGCCUUAGGGCCCUAACUCUCUGAAAUUUUUCUUCAAAAAAAUCUCAUCUCUCAUCAUUCAUCUAUCCUAUACUUAGUUCUAAGAGUCUGGAGUGCUAUUUUGAAGCUAAGAAGAUCACAUACCAAGUUAGUUUCACAAAGGUAAACACUAGAUAUCUUUAUCAAAGUUUUUGUGUUUGGUAGGUUUGUGCACUUGGCUGAGUUCAUAUAGUUGUAUAAUCUGAUUUUGGAGCCUUUGGAGAGUGAAUAUAUGUAUAUUAAAGGCUGAGUAAGGAAUUCAAGGUGCUAGGGGACACCAAAAUGCAAUCCAAAGUCUACAAGAGGUAAGGGAAAUGGAAAGCCGGACCAACCAUGAGAUGGAAAGCUUCAGGGGCGGUGUGUACAUAUACAUCCUACCCGACAGCCACGACCGGGGUAGCCUGGGAAGAACGAGGAUUGAACCCUAUUUUGCGGCUUAGGAUGACUAAUUUGCAUUUCAUUUGUAUUUUAUUAGUCUUGAACCGAUUUUUGGGAUUUUGUGUAUAAACUUAAUAUUUUUAAUGAAAAAUAAUCACUUUGUUGACCAAAA